UACAGAGGUCCCAAGCGUUGUUCGGAUUCAUUGGGCGUAAAGGGUGCGUAGGCGGCGCGGUAAGUCGGGUGUGAAAUCUCGGAGCUUAACUCCGAAACUGCAUUCGAUACUGGCGUGCUUGAGGACUGGAGAGGAGACUGGAAUUCAUGGUGUAGCAGUGAAAUGCGUAGAGAUCAUGAGGAAGACCAGUGGCGAAGGCGGGUCUCUGGACAGUUCCUGACACUGAGGCACGAAGGCCAGGGGAGCAAACGGG
rnacentral:rRNA from 1 species